AGGUUUAUUAAUAGAUCUUUUUGUAAUAUACAGAACAUAAUGGAAAAUUAAUACAUCAAGGGUCUCUUUCGACAUACCCUUUUCUCUCUCUCUCUCUCUUCAUCCAUUCUAGGGUUUUCAUCCCUUUUUCUCUACCAUAGCUCGCAGAUCUUCGAGUUAACAUGGUAUCAAAGUGGGAAUUUUGAUUCCUCUCAUCACAAGUUUCACUCCGAUGUUACCCUCUCUGAGUUUUUCAUCGUUUCGAUUUUUGAUUGACCCAGAACGACGAAAAUGUCGAACAACAUUUUCCACCGGUAAUUUUUGGGGAUUUCAUCACCUGACGACUGCUAGUACUCUCAUGAUGCCGAACAUCUCGGAUUUUCUCAGGCUCUGUACUUGAUUUGGUUAAAUCUGGUUUUCUAUGGUUUAUACUUCAGAGAAGACUCUUCUUCUUCGAGUUUCAGAAGAAUGAUGGUAAUAUCCUUCUCACUUUCGACUAUAAAAUUGCUUAGUUUUUGGUUGCAUGUUCUAGCAUAUGUUCAGAAAGCUACCUCUUUUGCUAUGUUAUAGAUAUUACUGUUUGUGUUGUUCUGAUUCAAUCCAGUUAAGUUUCAUCCUAUGGGUAGCAUUAUGGAUAAUGUUUCAUCACCUAGUAGCACAGGUUCUGAUGGUUUCACACCUUUUACACUGGAUCCAUCUCAUCCAUGUACGUACACCCUUCUGAUAGUCUUGGUAGUCAAUUGGUAGUUGUACCUUUCAAUGGGUGUGGUUUUGUGUUUUGGAGAAGUAGCAUGCUUACUUCUGUAUCUGCAAAGAACAGGUUAGGGCUUUUAGAUGGUAGAGUUCCCCAACCCUCACCGGACUCCCCAUAUUAUCCAUACUAGGAGAGGUGCAAUGACAUGGUCAAGGCAUGGAUCACUAACUUUGUGUCUAGGGAUAUUGCAACCAGUGUCAUGUGUCUUAAGACUGCAAGGAAAGUCUGGAAAGACAUUAACGAUAGAUUUGGUCAAUCAAAUGGAUUCAAAUAUCUCCAAAUUCAAAAAAGGAUUAGCACAACUACUCAAGGGUCUUCUGAUAUUUCCACAUACUUCACCAAGUUUAGGAGUCUAUGGGAUGAGUUAAAUUCCUCUUAUGUGGGUCUUGUCUGUUCAUGUGGAGCUCUUCCAAAGUUCAUAGAGGAUCAACAAUUAUUCUAGUUCCUCAAUGGUCUGAAUGAGUCUUACUCCACUCUGAAAAGUGCCAUCAUGAUGAUGAAUCCUCUCCCUCCAAUAAGCAAGGCUUAUUCCUUAUUACAACAGGAUGAGCGUCAAAAGGAAGCUCUCUCCAAUGUUUUUAACUUCUCUGGUGAUUCUGCUUCUUUUUCUGUGUCAACUGCUCAAUCAGCCAACACCAGAAAUUUCACUCAAAGGGUAAAUUUUGAAUCCAGAAAGAAUGUCAGUGGUGUUUCUUGCAAAUAUUAUAAGAAACCUGGACACACAGUGAAAAAAUAUUACAGACUUCAUGGGUUUCCCCUUGAGUUCAAGUUCACAAAGAACAAGAAGUCUGUAUCUUGUGUCCAAGGUGACAUACCUCAUCCUCAGUUAUCUCCUUCUAUCAAUCAGCUUCCAGGGAAUUCUUCUCCAAUUCAUGGCUUUACCAAAGAACAAUAUCAGCACCCCUUGACUAUGUUUCAAUAAGUUCAAGUCUCUCCUGGUGCUGUUUCCAACAAUCCUUCUAUUGAGGACUCUGGUUUUUUGCUUAUUUUGCAGGUUUGUUUACUGCCUAUGCUGUAGAAUCUGUAGACUCUCAUGUGUGUGCAUCAUCACAUGCUAAUGGGGAUCCUUGGAUCUUAGAUUCAGGGGCCACUAAUCACAUGACUCCACACAAACAUUUACUUCAUGAUAUUAUUCCUUUAGUUAAACCUUUCCUUGUUACCUUACCAAAUGGUUAUAAAGUAAAGGUUAUAACAACUGGGUCCUUGCACCCGAGACAUGAUAUAACCCUUCUCAAUGUACUUCGUGUACCUUCUUUCCAUUUCAACUUAAUAUCCAUACAUCAACUCAUUACCCAACUUAACUGUAUAGCAGUACUUACCAAGUUCCAUUGUUCUUUACAGGGCCCUUCUCUGAAGAGGUCACUGGUAAUUGGUAAGGCUGCUGGAAGACUCUACUACCUACAUCCAGAUGCAGACUUGUUUCCCACUUCAACCCCUGCUUUGUCAUCCCAUGCUACUACUCCUUGUAUAAAUUCUAGUUUUACUAUAGGUUCUAUUAUUUGUAAUAAGCCUGCAUCAAUUUCUCAGUAUGUACCUCUUUCACCUAAAUGUAAUUAGACUUCUGUUGUCAAUAAGAUGGAUUUGUUUUGACAUCAAAGACUAGGUCAUAUGCCCUUUCAUAAAAUGCAAUCUAUUCCUUUCUUAUCUGAUAAAGUAUCCAGCAAACAAAAUUUUAUGUCCUAUAUGUCCUAUGGCUAGACAACAAAGGCUGCCUUUUCAUGAUAGCACAAUUCAUUCCACUAAACCUUUUCAGCUAGUUCACAUUGAUAUUUGGGGCCCAUAUAAUACUAAAACUUACAAUGGCUUCAAAUAUUUUCUCACCUUAGUUGAUGAUUACUCUAGAGUCACUUGGACUCACCUCCUUUCUUCCAAAAGCAAUGCCUUAUCUAUCUUAAAAGCUUUCACUUCUAUGGUAAAAGUACACUUUAAUUCUUCAGUUCACACUUUCAGAUCAGACCAUGCUUUUGAACUUGGCAGUAGUGUUGAGGCUGCCACCUUAUUUGCUUCUCAAGGUAUAUUACACCAAACUACCAUUUCACAUACUCCACAACAAAAUGGUGUUGUGGAUAGAAAAUACAAACAUUUAUUAGAAGUUUCAAGAGCCCUUUUGUUCCAAUCUAAACUACCACUGACAUUUUGGAGUGACUGUGUUUUGACUGUCAUUUAUCUUAUAAAUAGGAUGCCUUCACCUCUUUUGCUCAAAGUUUCUCCUUAUGAAAAGUUGCAUGGAUGUACACAAUCUUAUGACUACUUGAGGUCUUUUGGUUGUAUGUGCUUUGCCACCUCUCCUAAGGCUGGUAGAAAUAAGUUUCAAUCUAGAGCUAUUUCUUAUAUCUUCCUAGGUUACCCUUGUGGUAAGAAGGGUUAUAAGUUGUUGAACAUGCCCAAUUCCUCAGUGUUCUACUCUAGGGAUGUAAUAUUCCAUGAACACAUUUUCCCUUAUUCUUCCUCUUCCCCACCUUCUCUUUCUUCUGUUUUGCCUUCACCAUUUGUGGACAUCCCAUCUUCUCUACCUGUCAUCCUUUCUCACCUUGUUUCCUCUUCUCCCAUUCCCCUUUCUGUUGUCAUUCCUCUUUCAACUUCUGCUCCACUCACCUCUCCUGCUAUUCCUCCUACAUCCACUCCUACACCUGCUUCCCCUCCUUUAAAAAAUCCACCAGAACUGUUACACAAUCUGUUUAUCUCAAAGAUUAUGUAUGUUCUUCUGCCAACUCCAACCCUUCUACUUCUACUCCUUCUAAGGUUCUGCCUAGUGAAGCACACAUGCAUGAGCCUUAAUUCUACCAGCAGACUGCCUCUCAUCCUGCCUGGCAGGAAGCUGUGCUAAAGGAAUUCAAUGCUCUUGAAGCAAACCAUACUUGGGACAUUGUUCCCCUUCCUCAUAAAAAGGUUAUUCCUUGUAAGUGGGUCUAUAAGAUCAAACAAAUGGCAGAUGGAUCUGUUGAGAGAUACAAGGCCAGGUUGGUUAUUAGGGGUGGUGACACUCAGAGGGAAGGCAUUGACUUCACAAAGACUUUUUCCCAUGUUAUCAAGCUCACCACCAUCAAGUGACUGCUGACUCUUGCCAUCAAGAGAGGAUGGAAUGUGUUCCAGUUGAAUGUUAACAAUGCAUUCCUCCAUGGUGAUCUACAUGAGGAGGUUUAUAUGAAGAUACCUCCAGGUAUUUAUGUCAAUUCUUCUUCCUCUUCCAUUCCUUUGGUUUGCAAACUCAAGAAAUUAUUAUAUGGCCUUAGGCAAGCCUCCAGACAAUGGUUUUCAAAACUGUCUGAAGCUUUGCUCUCUAGAGGCUACAUUUCAAGUCUGAAUGAUUACUCCCUCUUCACCAAGUCUUCUUCUGGUUCUCUAGUGGUUCUGGCAGUAUAUGUUGAUGACAUACUUUUGGCUGAAGAUGACCUCACUGAAAUGAACUCUUUGAAAUCCUAUUUGGAUGAUCAAUUUAAGAUUAAGGAUUUGGGGUUAGUACAUUACUUCUUGGGGCUGGAAAUCACUACUCAUCCUCAAGGCUAUCUCAUGAGCCAACACAAGUAUACAUCCGAUCUCUUCACUGAGUUCAAUUGUCAUCAUUUCUCUCCAGUUGUGACUCCUCUAGAUCCUUCUGUUAAGCUCACUUUGGACAUGGGGGAUCCUCUUCAUGAUCCUAGUCUUUACAGAAGACUUAUUGGGAAACUCAAUUUUUUACAACAUACAAGGCCUGAUAUAUCUUUCUUUGUCCAGCACCUGAGUCAAUUUCUUCAGCAACCUCAGGCCCCUCACAUGUUGGCUGGCCUACAUGUUCUUUGCUAUCUCAUGAAUGAUCCUUCUCAGGGAGUUCUUCUCUCCAAUUCUUCUGAUUAUUCUCUUGCUGGCUAUUCUGAUUCUGAUUGGGCCUCUUCUGCCAUCUCUCGAAAGAGUGUUACUGGGUUUUAUGUGACUCUUGGUGACAGUCCCAUCUCUUGAAAAAGUAAGAAGUAGCCCACUAUUUCUUUAUCUUCAGCUGAAGCUGAGUACAGGGCCCUCAGAAAAGUGGUUGCUGAGAUAUCUUGGUUGUUUAGACUUCUUAGGGAUCUUGGACUAUCUAUUAACAGUCAUGUUCAAAUCUAUUGUGACAGCCAGGCUGCUCUUCAUAUUGCCAAAAAUCCAGUUUUUCAUGAACGUACUAAGCAUAUUGAGAUUGACUGCCAUUAUGUUCGUGAAUGCUUGAAUUCUGGACUAAUUUCUCUACAUUUUAUUUCCAGUGCCAACCAGUUAGCUGACAUCAUGACAAAGGCUUUGUGUGGACAACUUCAUCAUAACAUUCUUGGCAAUCUUGGUGUGUGUUCACUCUCCAGCUUGAGGGGGGGUGUUAGCACUGAUAAAGGAAAAGGGUUGGCCCAAUAGCAGGGUCCAACAUACCCGGCCUAGCCCAAUUGUAUUCUUUAUUAGUCUUCAUAGGUUUAUUAAUAGAUCUUUUUGUAAUAUACAGAACAGUAUGAAAAUUUAAUACAUCAAGUAUCUCUUUCGACAGACC
rnacentral:lncRNA from 1 species